rnacentral:rRNA from 1 species
UACAGAGGUCCCAAGCGUUGUCCGGAUUUAUUGGGCGUAAAGAGCGUGUAGGCGGCCAGACAGGUCCGUUGUGAAAACUAGAGGCUUAACCUCUAGACGUCGAUGGAAACCGUCUGGCUAGAGUCCGGAAGAGGAGAAUGGAAUUCCUGGUGUAGCGGUGAAAAUGCGCAGAUAUCAGGAAGAACACCCCGUGGCUAAGGCGGUUCUCUAGUACGGUACUGACGCUGAGAAGCGAAAAGCAUGGGGGAGCGAAACAGG